UGGGUGACGAGCGGCGGACGGGUGAGUAAUGUCUGGGAAACUGCGUGAUGGAGGGGGAUAACUACUGGAAACGGUAGCUAAUACCGCAUAACGUCGCAAGACCAAAGAGGGGGACCUUCGGGCCUCUUGCCAUCAGAUGUGCCCAGAUGGGAUUAGCUAGUAGGUGGGGUAAUGGCUCACCUAGGCGACGAUCCCUAGCUGGUCUGAGAGGAUGACCAGCCACACUGGAACUGAGACACGGUCCAGACUCCUACGGGAGGCAGCAGUGGGGAAUAUUGCACAAUGGGCGCAAGCCUGAUGCAGCCAUGCCGCGUGUGUGAAGAAGGCCUUCGGGUUGUAAAGCACUUUCAGCGAGGAGGAAGGUGGUGAACUUAAUACGUUCAUCAAUUGACGUUACUCGCAGAAGAAGCACCGGCUAACUCCGUGCCAGCAGCCGCGGUAAUACGGAGGGUGCAAGCGUUAAUCGGAAUUACUGGGCGUAAAGCGCACGCAGGCGGUUUGUUAAGUCAGAUGUGAAAUCCCCGGGCUCAACCUGGGAACUGCAUUUGAAACUGGCAAGCUAGAGUCUCGUAGAGGGGGGUAGAAUUCCAGGUGUAGCGGUGAAAUGCGUAGAGAUCUGGAGGAAUACCGGUGGCGAAGGCGGCCCCCUGGACGAAGACUGACGCUCAGG
rnacentral:rRNA from 1 species